GUGGGGCUGAGGCGGCUUCUGGAAGGUUCUGCAGGCUGCUGCCGGCCAGCGUCUGUGGCGCUGCUCUAGGCAGCUGCUUUGGCGUCCUGGCGCUGGUGCUGACCCUUGCCCAGACCUGCUGUAUAACACAGACAUUGGAAUAGCCCUGAAGAAGUACACUUUUGGCAAGUAUGGACCUAAGCAUCUACUGAGAAGGUUCCGCUGUUGGUGAUGCUUGUGCACUGUCACCAACUACUCACAAGAGGGAGCUCAGAGAAAGCUUCAA
rnacentral:lncRNA from 1 species